rnacentral:rRNA from 1 species
CACUCCUACGGGAGGCAGCAGUGGGGAAUUUUGGACCAUGGGCGAAAGCCUGAUCCAGCAAUGCCGCGUGAGUGAAGAAGGCCUUCGGGUUGUAAAGCUCUUUUGUCAGGGAAGAAACGGUGAAAGCUAAUAUCUUUUGCUAAUGACGGUACCUGAAGAAUAAGCACCGGCUAACUACGUGCCAGCAGCCGCGGUAAUACGUAGGGUGCAAGCGUUAAUCGGAAUUACUGGGCGUAAAGCGUGCGCAGGCGGUUUUGUAAGUCUGAUGUGAAAUCCCCGGGCUCAACCUGGGAAUUGCAUUGGAGACUCCAAGGCUAGAAUCUGGCAGAGGGGGGUAGAAUUCCACGUGUAGCAGUGAAAUGCGUAGAUAUGUGGAGGAACACCGAUGGCGAAGGCAGCCCCCUGGGUCAAGAUUGACGCUCAUGCACGAAAGCGUGGGGAGCAAACAGGAUUAGAAACCCGUGUAGUCCCAUGA